ensembl:ncRNA T10B9.13 ncRNA
GAACACAUGCCAGGAACCGUUGAAAAUCUGAAAACACUUGCUAUUCUUCUUCAGAAUAUUAUAAACAUACGGCUUGAACUUUUGGCAGCAAUGGGUUCUUGAACAUGUUCGAUUCAGACUGGCCAAGAGCAAUGCGACUAAUUA